ACAUUGAUGGUUCAGUGGUAGAACUCUUGCCUUGCAUGCAGGAGACCUGGGUUCAAUUCCCAGUCAAUGCA